rnacentral:lncRNA from 1 species
UAGAUGAGAUUGGAUUAAAUUCCAUGUGAUUUAUCUUUCCUUUUAAUUCAGGUUGGGAGUCAUUUCUUUCUGGUGGAUCACAGCUGUCCAGAUGUUGCAACUGAUUUUUAUGUUUCUGUAGAGAAGUAUUUUUCUUUCAUCUUCAGGAUUUUUAUUUUAUUUUUUUUUUGCUACCAAAAGAAAACAUUGGAACUCUGUGUUUCCUCUUGAUUGUGACUUCCCAAUGUUGACAGUUAAGUCCUUAGUGUCGUAGGUCCCAGCCCACCAAUACUAUAUCAAACACUGUGCGGCAUCUUGCUGUUGUACUUCUGAAAACAGACCUGUGUGAAUGAUCAUUUCUGACUUAACCAUGAGAUGCUCAUGUGUACCCUUCCAGUUGUUUUGUUAGCAUUGAAAUCAAGACUAUUUAGUUGGAAUAUAUGCAACAGUGUUUUUCCACUGUAUUUCAUUUGAAAAAGUUGAAACUUCUUUCUCUACCUUUUGCAAAAUAAUUGAUAUUCCAUAGUGGAUUCUCGAAGACUUUGAUAUGGUGAAACUAUUAAACCUAGAAAUUGUAUUCAUCCUUUCAUGACUGUGGCCUGAGUUCCCCAGCCCCUCUCCUCCUUUUUUUAGAUGAGAUUUAGCACACUCUCAGUUAUUUAAACAUGCAACAUUUCUUGAGUAUGUAUGUUGAGGCCAUCUGCACUCAUAGCUGAUUCAGUAACCAGUUUCAUGCUGUGUCAUUCACACUCAGUACUUAAUACUGCCAUAGUGA